UGGGGAAUAUUGCACAAUGGGCGCAAGCCUGAUGCAGCCAUGCCGCGUGUAUGAAGAAGGCCUUCGGGUUGUAAAGUACUUUCAGCGGGGAGGAAGGUGUUGAGGCUAAUAACCUCAGCAAUUGACGUUACCCGCAGAAGAAGCACCGGCUAACUCCGUGCCAGCAGCCGCGGUAAUACGGAGGGUGCAAGCGUUAAUCAGAAUUACUGGGCGUAAAGCGCACGCAGGCGGUCUGUCAAGUCGGAUGUGAAAUCCCCGGGCUCAACCUGGGAACUGCAUUCGAAACUGGCAGGCUAGAGUCUUGUAGAGGGGGGUAGAAUUCCAGGUGUAGCGGUGAAAUGCGUAGAGAUCUGGAGGAAUACCGGUGGCGAAGGCGGCCCCCUGGACAAAGACUGACGCUCAGGUGCGAAAGCGUGGGGAGCAAACA
rnacentral:rRNA from 1 species